ACACUGGUGGUGAAACGGUAUCAUGCUUGCCUUCCAGCAUUGGCAUCGUCCAACUGUAAGCAAGCGGCAGGGGUUCGACUCCCCUUCAGUGUA